rnacentral:SRP_RNA from 1 species
GCCAGGCGUGGUGGCGCAUGCCUGUAAUCCCAGCUACUCGGGAGGCUGAGGCAGGAGAAUCGCUUGAACCCAGGAGGCAGAGGUUGCAGUGAGUCGAGAUCACGCCAUUGCACUCCAGCCUGGGCAACAAGAGCGAAACUCUGUCUCUU